rnacentral:rRNA from 1 species
GACGAACGCUGGCGGCGUGCCUAAUACAUGCAAGUCGAGCGAAGAACUUCGGUUCUUAGCGGCGAACGGGUGAGUAACACGUGGGCAACCUGGCCUUCAGCCUGGGAUAACACCGGGAAACCGGUGCUAAAACCAGAUAAUCUUUCUUUCCGCAUGGGAGAGAAGUAAAAGUUUACACUUAAGGAUGGGCCCGCGGUGCAUUAGCUAGUUGGUGGGGUAACGGCCUACCAAGGCAACGAUGCAUAGCCGACCUGAGAGGGUGACCGGCCACACUGGGACUGAGACACGGCCCAGACUCCUACGGGAGGCAGCAGUAGGGAAUUUUCCGCAACGGGGGCAACCCUGACGGAGCAACGCCGCGUGAGUGAAGACGGCCUUCGGGUUGUAAAGCUCUGUUCUUGGGGAAGAAAACAAUGACGGUACCCAAGCAGAAAGCUCUGGCUAACUACGUGCCAGCCGCCGCGGUAA